rnacentral:rRNA from 1 species
CCUACGGGAGGCAGCAGUGGGGAAUAUUGCUCAAUGGGCGCAAGCCUGACCCAGCAACGCCGCGUGAAUGAAGAAGGCUUUCGGGUUGUAAACUUCUUUUGACAGGGAAGAGUAGAAGACGGUACCUGUCGAAUAAGCCACGGCUAACUACGUGCCACCAGCCGCGGUAAUACGUUGGUGGCAGGGGUUGUCCGGAUUUACUUGGGGAAAGGGGCGUGUAGCCGGGUUGACAAGUCAGAUGUAAAGUCCUGGUGCUUAACCGCGGAACGGAAUUGGAAACGGUUGAUCUUGAGUACGGGAAAGGCAGACGGAAUUCCGGGGGUAGCGGUGAAA